rnacentral:lncRNA from 10 species
CAGCUGCAGCUCACCACAGGGCAUCACCCCUUGUCCUGGGCCUGCGUCAGAAGCAGAGGUGUCCCGAGGCCCUGGUGUUGCCAGCAUGGUCUGCAUUCCACAGAAAAUGCGCAGGCAGAACCAGCCCAGCUCUCCUGUGCCCUCAGAAGCCCAGGCCAACCGAGUUGCCCACCCUUCCUGGGCACGUGGUGUGCCAGGUGUGGUGUCCCUACCUGACCCUUUGCUGCAGCCACUAGGAGGAAAAUACAAGAGACUUUCCCCAACCUGGAACAGAUGCUAGCAGUCUCCCCAACUUACAGCUGCACUCACCUCUCAACUUCACACUAUAAGGUGGGGAUGGUGUGGGGACAAUUGCUCUGAUAUCACAGCCACCGCCGCCCCAAGUACACUUUACCCUUUGAGUUGUCUGGCCUUUUUUUUUUUUUAAGAUGUUUUAAUUAUUAAAAUAUAUGCUCGUUG